AUGCCUUUUCCUCCUAAACCAUCCAAGAAAAAGGAUGGUGAGGAUUUUGAGCGCUUUGCUGAAAUGAUUAGACAUAUCUUUUUGCGUAUGUGUUUGACUAAUAUGCUUAAAAUGAAUCCUUAUGCUAAGUAUAUGAAAGAUAUUGUUACAAAUAAAAGAAAGAUAUUGGAAGCUGAAAUUUCCACCAUGCUUGCCAAUUAUACUUUUAAAGGUGGAAUACCUAAGAAACUAGGAGACCCAGGAGUACCAACUAUACCAUGCUCCAUUAAAACAAAUUAUAUUAAAACUGCUUUAUGUGAUCUUGGAGCCGGUGUUAGUGUUAUGCAUCUCUCUUUAUAUCGUAGACUUGAUUUGAAUAAGUUGACACCUACUAAAAUAUCUUUGCAAAUGGCUGAUAAAUCAACUGCUAUACAUGUCGGUAUUUGUGAGGAUGUGCCUGUUGUGGUUGCAAACGUUACUAUUUUAACGGACUUUGUUAUUCUUGAUAUUCUCGAGGACGAUAGUAUGUUGAUUAUCCUUGGUAGGCCCUUUUUGAGUACUGCAGGGGCUAUUAUUGAUUGCAACAAAGGCAAUGUCACUUUUCAUGUUAAUGGUAAUGAGCAUACAGUACACUUUUUGAGAAAACAACCUCAAGUCCAUAGUAUCAAUUCUAUUGGAAAAUUUUCAACAAUUACUAUUGGAGGUUUUAAAUUUCCUAUUCCUACAGUCAAGAAGAAAUAUGAUAUUCUUAUUGUGGGGGACAUUCAUAUCCCCGUUGAGGUAACAUAG
rnacentral:rRNA from 1 species